rfam:Nomascus leucogenys chromosome 22a, whole genome shotgun sequence.
GCUGGGCAUGGUGACCCAUGCCUGUAGUCCCAGCUACUUGGGUGGCUGAGUCAGGAGGGUUGCUUGAGCCCAGGGGUUCUAGACUGCAGUGAGUUAUGAUUACCACUGCAGUCCAACCUGGGUGACAGAGUCAGACCUUGUCUCUA